rnacentral:pre_miRNA from 1 species
UUAACUCAAAUUUGUAUGGAGUUGCAACGUUUGCCUACGUUUGCCGCUAGGGGCGCUGAUCCAACUGCAUACAAAUUUGCGUUA